UACGUAGGGGGCAAGCGUUAUCCGGAUUUACUGGGUGUAAAGGGAGCGUAGACGGCAGAGCAAGUCCGGAGUGAAAGCCCGGGGCCCAACCCCGGGACUGCUCUGGAAACUGUUAAGCUGGAGUGCGGGAGGGGCAGGCGGAAUUCCUGGUGUAGCGGUGAAAUGCGUAGAUAUCAGGAGGAACACCGGCGGCGAAGGCGGCCUGCUGGACGAUGACUGACGUUGAGGCUCGAAAGCGUGGGGAGCAAACAGG
rnacentral:rRNA from 1 species